ACAUACACACACACACACACACACACACACACACACACACACAUAUACAUACACACACACACACACACACACACACACAUAUAUAUAUUACACAUACAUACAUAUAUCUAUAUAUAUAUAUACAUAUAUCUAUAUGUUUAUCCCAUUUUGGUAGAUGAAGGGCAUUGUGACAAGUGCCAGCCAUAGUGAAAAGACAAACCCAGGGACGAGUUCCUCUUUGCUUUGGGCUCCCUCCUAGCUACACUCCCUAUUGUAGCUAGUGACCAUUUUUCUGUCUUGCCCAGUGGCUGGAGAUGGGACUAACAGAAGAUGUGCCUAAGAGAAGUUCUCCUUUGGGGGGGCGGGGGUGAUACACUCUGGGCCUGAGCAUGGGGUAUAAGCUCUCUUACCUCUGUGCACCACAACUCCUACAGGAGUCCACAGUGGGGAGGUGUCCAGACAUUUUGUCGGCUCUUCCCUUCCUCCUUGCCUCUGCGUCCAGGUCUCCUUACUAGGAGACAGCUGUGACAGCUGUUCUGAAUAUUAACAGUGAGAGUGCACACUGGAGAAUGCUCUGCCUUCUGUUCAAGUCUCCUCACUCCUGGCAAAUGGUAGAACUUGGGCCUGCUGUUUACACAGUCCACAUCUCAGGAAUGUUCCCAGAGAGGCCCUGGCUGUGCAGAAUGUGUUCACCCCAGGUAGUGAGGUGUUGGGCUGCUCCUUUCAGAACUCAGCAUCUUCCUAGACAAGGCAGAAGGAGACACAAGUUUGCCAAGUUGGAACCCAAGCUUUGAGAUCCCAGAUACCCAGGUCUGGUAUGGUUGAUGUUCAGUAUGAUGAAACAGAAAAGUACUGCCCAAGACAGGCAGCAGGCAGGUACUCUAGACCAGCCCUCUAGGGUAGUGAAGUUUCUCGUGUCCUCUUCUCCAUCUCCUGUACCUCCCACUCCAAGUCUAAUCUGGAAAAUAAGUGCAGUCAGUCUUGGAAACAGGAUUCAUUUGUCUCCUAGGUCCUAGGGGUGUUCAUGGCCAUAUUUUGGUUCCUGCCGGCCCUCUGUCUGUGUUUUGAUGCAGGCCACUUUCCAAAUUCCAAAACCCCAUGCUCAACUCCAUAUGUGAAGCAAAGGGGAGAGAAAUCUUCCUCUAAAGGUACUAGAAGUAGUUAUCCAAAGUCCCUGGGCCUGUCUCCUCCUGAUUGUGGCCUCACCUUGCCCUCUACAGGGAACCACGCUGCUGGCUUGCAGCUUCCACAAAAAGGUGGACUGGGGGCAGGGGGUAACUGCAUGUGGCUUAGGAAGCCAUCCAGUCAAUGCAGGAUUGAGUCAAACAUAUAUCUUUGCUAGUUAGGGUUUCUGUUGCUGGGAGGAGACACUAUGACCAAGGCAACUUUUUUUUGUUGUUGUUGUUGUUGUUGUUGUUGUUUUUCAAGACAGGGUUUAUCUGAGUAGCCCUGAUUGUCCUGGAACUCACUCUGUAGACCAGGCUGGCCUCAAACUCAGAAAGUCACCUGCCUCUGCCUCCCAAGUGCUGGGAUUAAAGGCAUGCACCACCAC
rnacentral:lncRNA from 1 species